CCCUCUCUUCAGAGGAACAGUAGCCCCUCUCCUGGCUCUUCUGGCCCCGCCCCAUUCGUGUUUCCUAUGAAUUCUGGGAGUCGUAGUUCGGUGUUUACUGCGAACGGACCCAAUGACCAUCCUCGGAUUGGAGUUGGAGCCGGACUUUUUGUUGUUUUUUAAUUUUCGGGGAGCUGAACUCAGGAGGGUCCAAUUUGACUAGCAGUGUUACUGUGCUCUGCAAGACGUGGAGGUACCUUAAGUACAGCCUUUAUAGCUGAUGUUUUAGAAGGUGAAAAUACUGACUCUGGGUUGUUCCAUCUGCUCCCUCUCUUUGGAUUGAUUGUUGGAUUAGAGUUCAUCCAGACUUCUCACCAAACUUCUGUUGCUGGAACAUUUUUCGGGUUCAGUCUGAAGAACUGGUCCAAUCCACUUUCAGAGUCCACUGAGGUGCUGUUACUUAUCUGUAAAGAAUAUGAGAUCAACUUAAGCCGAGGUUGUAGGGAGGUGGUCGGUUUUCCAUUGAGCAGUGAAGAUACAUUGCUAUUCUGGUUUGUGAAUACUUUGGUGUUGGGCAGGAAGGGAGAAUUCAAGGUGAAGGACGGCUACGGGGCAGCUGCCCUCCGGUUACCAGACAAUACUGACAUUUCAAGAUGUGGUCAUGCACUUCACCUGGGAGGAAUGGGGGCUGUUGGAGCCGGCUCAGAAAGACAUGUAGAAGGAAAUGAUGCUGGAGAACUAUGAGAAUUUUAUCUUCCCGAGGCUUCCACUUUCCAAAGGAGAUGUCCUCUCCCAGUUGGAAAAAAGAGAAGCAGUAAGACUGUUGCAGAGAGCAUCUUCAAGAAGCCCUUCCCCAGAGUUUGCUCAGAAAUGUAAUACAGUUGGACAAAAGGGCAGUCAGAAGUCGAUCCUAGUUGCACACCAUCGAGUUCCUGAAGCCAAUUUCAAACACUUUUCAGACUUAAGUGAAUAUAACAGAAUUGCUAUAGGUGAGAAACUUUAUAAUAAAGACAAGAAAUUCUUUACUGACCACUCAAACUUUAUUCAUUGUACUUGAGGAAAACACCCUAAAUAUAGUGAAUUUGGUAGAGCCUUCAGUAUUAAUUCAUGCCAUUCUGUACAUCAAAGAAUUCAUACUGAAGGGAAAUCAUUUGAAUGUAAUGAAUGUGGGAAAACCUUCAACAGUAAAGAAAACCUAACUGCACAUCAGAUAAGCCAUACCCAGAAGAAGCCAUUUAAAUGUAAUGAAUGUGGAAAAGCUUUUAACAGUUAUCAAAUCUUAUCUCAACAUCAAAGAAUUCAUACUGGAGAGAAACCAUUUGAAUGUAAUGAAUGUGGGAAAUCAUUCAGCCAGAAGGGGAACCUCUUUAAACAUCAGAAAAUUCAUAAUGGAGAAAAACAUAAAAAAAUUCAUAAUGGAAAGAAAUCCUACAUAUGUAAUGAAUGUGGGAAAGCCUUCAACUCUAAGCAACAUCUUGAAAUACAUAAGAUAAUUCAUUCUGGAGAGAAGCCCUAUGAAUGUAAUAUAUGUGGCAAAGCCUUCCCCAAUAAACAUUACUUAGGAAAACAAAAAAAUUCAAUCUGGAGAAAAACCUUGUAAAUGUAAUCAUUGUGGAAGAGCGUUCAGAGAGAAGGGCAGCCUUGAAAAAGAAGAUGAUUCAUACAGGUGAGAAGCCCUUUGAAUUAGUAAAUGUGGGAAAGCCUUUAGCAGUAAUAGGUAUCUAAUUCAACAUCAAAAAACCCAUACUGGAGAGAAACCUUACAAAUGUAAUGAAUGUGGGAAAGCCUUUAGCAGUAAUAGCUACAUAAUUAAGCAUCAAAGAAUUCAUACUGUACAAGAGCCUUAUAAAUGUAAUGAAUGUGGGAAAGCCUUCAGCAGUAAUGGCUACAUAAUUGAAUAUCAAAGAAUUCAUACUGGAGAGAAGCCCUAUAAAUGUAAUGAUUGUGGGAAAGCUUUCAUAAGUAAUAAACAGCUAUCCAGACAUCAAAAAAUUCUUACCAUAGACAAUCCAUAUAAAUGUGAUGUGUAAUGGGCUGAGGUUUGAGCUGAUGCACUGAGGUCCCAAGUA